CCUCCGUGACUUAAAUCUUCAUGGAUAUCUGUAAACACGCCUGUACGAAGGGCUCAUUUGAAAUGUUAAUGGAUAUAGAUCAUGCCAAAUCAAUAAGAAGCAACCCUAACUACACAAAGAUGUAGAGAAAAUGAAUGGUUAGCUUGAAAAAUAAAUAUACUCUCUCUAUAUUAAAUCCAUCUUCGAUUGCAAUGAGUAUGCUCCUUUAGGAUAAGGGGGGCUGCCCCACUCAUUGCAAUUAUUCUCUUUCUUACAAUAUUAAAUAUACCCAAACUGUGUGGUGUGUGUGAAUUCAAUUAAAACAUGUCCUUAGGAGCUAUGCUGCCAAUUUUUUUUAUGCAUUAAAAACAUUUCAGUACAGACCAUUUACUUUUAAUGGGGUGCUAUGGAUUUCACCCCAAACUUUAGAUUUCUUUGGUUUUCAUUAAAGCCUCGCAAAAAUAUAACCUUAUCACAUAUAAUUAAAUAUUGUUAG
rnacentral:lncRNA from 1 species